rnacentral:tRNA from 1 species
GGGGCUGUAGCUCAGUUGGGAGAGCACUACGCUGGCAGUGUAGGUGUCAGGGGUUCGAGUCCCCUCAGCUCCA